CAAAAACAUUGCUUUCUGAACCUCAAUAGAAAGUAAUUCCUGCCCAGUGACCAAGUUCAACGGCCGCGGUAUCCUAACCGUGCAAAGGUAGCAUAAUCACUUGCCCAUUAAUUGUGGGCUAGAAUGAACGGAUAAACGAAAUAAGCACUGUCUCAAUUAGCAACCUAAAAACUACUAUCUAUAUGAAGAAGAAUAGAUUAAAUAGAAGGACAAGAAGACCCUGUAGAGCUUUAUAUUUAAAUAGAUAAAUACUACUAAGAUAUUCGGUUGGGGCGACCAAGGAAUAUGAAUCAUCCUUAAAUUUAAAGAUCUAUCAAUCAAAUAAAUGACCCUUUAAAGAUCAAAAAAACAAGCUACCUCAGGGAUAACAGGCUAAUCCCAUUAAAGAGUCCAUAUCGACAAUGGGGGUUGGCACCUCGAUGUUGGCUUAGGGUAUCUAUAUGGCGCAAAAGUCAUAUAAAGAUGGUUUGUUCAACCAAUAAUUCCCUACGUGAUCU
rnacentral:rRNA from 1 species